AGUAUAAAAGGAUAUUGUAUAAUCCGUGGACCUUCUAGGUCUGAAAUAAUCUGAUGAAUUUGUACUU
rnacentral:tRNA from 1 species